AGUGGGGAAUAUUGGACAAUGGGCGCAAGCCUGAUCCAGCAAUGCCGCGUGUGUGAAGAAGGCCUUCGGGUUGUAAAGCACUUUCAAUAGGGAGGAAAGGUUAUGCGUUAAUACCGUAUAGCUGUGACGUUACCUAUAGAAGAAGCACCGGCUAACUCCGUGCCAGCAGCCGCGGUAAUACGGAGGGUGCAAGCGUUAAUCGGAAUUACUGGGCGUAAAGCGCGCGUAGGCGGUUAUUUAAGUCAGAUGUGAAAGCCCCGGGCUCAACCUGGGAAUUGCAUUUGAUACUGGAUGGCUAGAGUGUGGUAGAGGUGAGUGGAAUUUCAGGUGUAGCGGUGAAAUGCGUAGAGAUCUGAAGGAACAUCAGUGGCGAAGGCGACUCACUGGGCCAUUACUGACGCUGAGGUGCGAAAGCGUGGGUAGCAAACAGGAUUAGAUACCCUGGUAGUCCACGCCCUAAACGAUGUCAACUAGGUGUAUGGAGAAUUUAUUCUUUGUGUAUCGAAGCUAACGCGAUAAGUUGACCGCCUGGGGAGUACGGUCGCAAGACUA
rnacentral:rRNA from 1 species